rnacentral:tRNA from 1 species
GGAUGAUUGGCCGAGCGGCUGAAGGCGCACGCUUGGAAAGCGUGUAAACGUUAACUCGUUUCAAGGGUUCGAAUCCCUUAUCAUCCG